GCAACCGACUACCUUCCUCGUUCAGUCCUCCCCUUUCUCCUCGGUAAUGGAGUCUCCAAACCCCGCUUCCUCUGCAACCCCCAAUCCCUUCGCCUUCUUCCACCAGCAUUUUCAACGUCUAAGCUCCGACAUCUCUACCCGUCUCGACGAAACACGGCGAGGAAUCGCCAAAAACCUUUUCCCAUUUCAGCCACAUAAGCCCCAUCGCUGGUCAUUGCCCUUUGCUUCGUUGUCACAGCAACAAGACGACAACACUCUUCGCAGCGGAAAACAUGUGUUUGACUUGGCCCUAAGCACUGCCAACGUGUCGAAAACGCUUGCUGGAACAGAGCUGUACACAGUCAGCAAUUCCGAUAACGAAUUCGUCCUAAUUUCUGAUCCUAAUGGACUCAAAUCAAUUGGGUUACUUUGUUUUCGUCAAGAAGACGCCGAAGCAUUUCUUGCUCAGGUUCGAUUGAGGAAAAGGGAGUUAAAAGGGCGAGCAAAAGUUGUACCAAUUGCGCUUGACCAGGUUUAUAUGUUGAAGGUUGAAGGAAUUGCAUUUCGAUUUUUGCCUGAUCCUGUUCAACUUAAGAAUGCAAUGGAGUUGAAUACUUCUACUACCAAGAAUGGGUUUGAUGGAGUCCCUGUUUUUCAGUCGGAUCUCCUAGUUAUAAAGAAGAAAAACAAACGUUACUGUCCUAUAUAUUUUCGAAAGGAAGAUAUUGAGAAAGAGUUGUUAAUGAUUCCACGUGGACCAAGAGGACCUGCCAUUUCACAACAUAUCAUGGUGGGAUGUUUGGAAGAUGUUUUGAAAAAAAUGGAGAUGAGUGAGAAAAAUUCAGGUUGGGAAGAUCUAGUUUUCAUCCCUCCUGGUAAAAGUCAAUCGCUACACCUGCAGGAAGUUGUAAACGCGUGAAAAAACAUUUGUUCAUUUUUCAUAAUAAUUCAAGAUCAAAAGCAUGCCCAAUUUUAGCAUUUUUCUAGUCUUGUUGAAAAACAGUGGAACAAAUAGACCGAAUGGAUUUAUUCCCUUCUUUUGACAAUGAGUAGAAAGCCGAAGAUGUAAUUUUAAUGCAAGUUUUAUCAUUUUGUUAAGGUAGUGAAUUGCCAUGUAGAAGAUAGUGACAAGGAUGAUGAUAUCACGGGAAGAUGUAUUUUGUAUAUUGGAAUCUUGAUUGUGAAUGAAAAUCAUAGCAUCAUUUGAAUUCUUAAUUUUUUUGAUGUUAUACUUUAUGAAACUAUGUAUGAUGAGUCUUGAGAGUUGCACGUGA